UACGAAGGGGGCUAGCGUUGCUCGGAAUCACUGGGCGUAAAGCGCACGUAGGCGGAUUGUUAAGUCAGGGGUGAAAUCCUGGAGCUCAACUCCAGAACUGCCUUUGAUACUGGCGAUCUCGAGUCCGGAAGAGGAGAGUGGAAUUCCUGGUGUAGCGGUGAAAUGCGCAGAUAUCAGGAAGAACACCCGUGGCUAAGGCGGCUCUCUAGUACGGUACUGACGCUGAGACGCGAAAGCGUGGGGAGCGAACAGG
rnacentral:rRNA from 1 species